rnacentral:rRNA from 1 species
UUUGCCUACGGGACGCAGCAGUGAGGAAUAUUGGUCAAUGGGCGAGAGCCUGAACCAGCCAAGUCGCGUGAGGGAAGACGGUCCUAUGGAUUGUAAACCUCUUUUGCCGGGGAGCAAAAAGCGGUACGCGUACCGCAUCGAGAGUACCCGGAGAAAAAGCAUCGGCUAACUCCGUGCCAGCAGCCGCGGUAAUACGGAGGAUGCGAGCGUUAUCCGGAUUUAUUGGGUUUAAAGGGUGCGCAGGCGGCGAGUUAAGUCAGCGGUAAAAUUUCGGGUCUCAACCCCGACAA